GCUGGCUUCUCGCCGACUUAGGUUUCCGUGUUCGGGACCCGUGGCGGGGAGCGUCUGGGGGUUAGUUAGCGCAGGAGCCUGUGGAGACUGUAUCUACUAAAAGAAGUCCUGAAGGAUACUGCUGAACAUGUGAGACAGAGUCCCGAAUGCAAACACUGAAUAUCUUGCAUAAGUGGCAAGACUGGUUCUCCUGAAAAC